GACGAACGCUGGCGGCGUGCUUAACACAUGCAAGUCGAACGGAAAGGCCCUGCUUUUGUGGGGUGCUCGAGUGGCGAACGGGUGAGUAACACGUGAGUAACCUGCCCUUGACUUUGGGAUAACUUCAGGAAACUGGGGCUAAUACCGGAUAGGAGCUCCUGCUGCAUGGUGGGGGUUGGAAAGUUUCGGCGGUUGGGGAUGGACUCGCGGCUUAUCAGCUUGUUGGUGGGGUAGUGGCUUACCAAGGCUUUGACGGGUAGCCGGCCUGAGAGGAUGACCGACCACAUUGGGACUGAGAUACGGCCCAGACUCCUACGGGAGGCAGCAGUGGGGAAUAUUGCACAAUGGGCGGAAGCCUGAUGCAGCAACGCCGCGUGCGGGAUGACGGCCUUCGGGUUGUAAACCGCUUUCGCCUGUGACGAAGCGUGAGUGACGGUAAUGGGUAAAGAAGCACCGGCUAACUACGUG
rnacentral:rRNA from 1 species